rnacentral:rRNA from 1 species
CUAACCUGCUAAAUAGUACGGUUGCAAUAUUAUAUGGACCUCAUUCUGAUCACUCUGUGGUCAGAAUGAAUCAUAUAAGCAGGUGAGACUUCUUAGAGGGACUGGCACUUCAAUAUAAAGUGCACGAGAAAGAGCUAUAACAGGUCUGUGAUGCCCUAAGAUGUCCGGGGCCGCACGCGUGCUACAAUGACGAUGCAAGUGAGCAUGAUUGGCUUAUCCGAAAGGAUCGGCAAACCUGCUUAAUCAUCGUCGUUACUGGGAUUGGGGUUUGCAAUUAUCCCCCAUGAACGAGGAAUUCCUAGUAAGCACAAGUCAUAACCUUGUGCUGAUUACGUCCCUGCCCUUUGUACACACCGCCCGUCGCUACUACCGAUUGAAUGGUUUAGCAAGGUUAUUGGAUCUGAGCUUGCUGGUUCACGCCAGCUUGCCUGGAAAAGAUGACCGAACUUGAUCAUUUAGAGGAAGUAAAAGUCGUAACAAGGUUUCCGUAGGUGAACCUACGGAAGGAUCAUUAUCAUAAUUCCUAAACAUUAUGUUGCAUGCUUACGUGUGCAACCUGCGGUACAGAAAUGUGCUUCUGCACAUAGCGGUUGAUUCAGCACUAUGGAGCAUGGACGUGAUUGCCGUUGUAGUGACCGGCUAUCGCUGUCUAUGUUCCGCUGUCUUUUGGUGCCCUCAGCCGCGUCACUGCGUCCCAUCAUUUCGUUUUGUAAACUAACUAAAGUUGGCCUCGAACUGCGUGUAUCAUUCUCACCAAUGAUGCAUGUGGGGAGUGGGGAUUUAACUGGUACUGCCGCUUAAUUGGGCAGCCAGUUAGGCUUUGGCCUUGCCAUAGCCAACCUGACACAACAGGUGGUGGAUCACUCGGCUCGUGUGUCGAUGAAGAGUGCAGCAAACUGUGUGAACUGAUGUGAAUCGCAGACUGCUUCGAACAUCGACUUCUUGAACGCAAAUGGCGGUCAUGGGCUUGCCCAUGNCCACGUUUGUCUGAGUGUCGGCUUCCUAACUAUCG